rnacentral:misc_RNA from 1 species
UCCGGUUUGUCACCGGCAGUCUCAUUAAAGUGCCCAACUGAAUGAUGGCAAUUAAUGACAAGGGUUGCGCUCGUUGCGGGACUUAACCCAACAUCUCACGACACGAGCUGACGACAGCCAUGCAGCACCUGUGUUCAGGCUCCCUUUCGGGCACACCCGACUCUCAUCGGGCUUCCUGACAUGUCAAGGGUAGGUAAGGUUUUUCGCGUUGCAUCGAAUUAAUCCACAUAAUCCACCGCUUGUGCGGGUCCCCGUCAAUUCCUUUGAGUUUUAAUCUUGCGACCGUACUCCCCAGGCGGCGAACUUCGCGCGUUAGCUGCGUUACUGAAAGGUUAACCCUUCCAACAACUAGUUCGCAUCGUUUAGGGCGUGGACUAC